rnacentral:rRNA from 1 species
AUUGAACGCUGGCGGCAGGCCUAACACAUGCAAGUCGAACGAGUGGCGGACGGGAGUAUUGUGUGGGGGAAACUGCCCGGUGGAGGGGGAUAACUACUGAAAAGGGUAGCAAAUCCCGAAAACCAUCGGAUGUGCCCAGAUGGGAUUAGCUAGUGGGUGGGGUAGCGGCUCACAUAGGCGACGAUCCCUAGCUGGGCUGAGAGGAUGACGAGCCACACUGGAACUGAGACACGGUCUAGACUCCUACGGGAGGCAGCAGUGGGUAAUAUUGCACAAUGGGCGCAAGCCUGAUGCAGCCAUGCCGCGUGUAUGAAGAAGGCCUUCGGGUUGUAAAGUACUUUCAUCGAGGAGGCGUUACUCGCAGAAGAAGCACCGGCUAACUCCGUGCCAGCAGCCGCGGUAAUAC